rnacentral:rRNA from 1 species
GGGGAAUUUUCCGCAAUGGGCGCAAGCCUGACGGAGCAACGCCGCGUGAGGGAUGAAGGCCUCUGGGCUGUAAACCUCUUUUCUCAAGGAAGAAGAUCUGACGGUACUUGAGGAAUAAGCCACGGCUAAUUCCGUGCCAGCAGCCGCGGUAAUACGGGAGUGGCAAGCGUUAUCCGGAAUUAUUGGGCGUAAAGCGUCCGCAGGCGGCCUUGAAAGUCUGUUGUUAAAGCGUGGAGCUUAACUCCAUUUCAGCAAUGGAAACUACAAGGCUAGAGUGUGGUAGGGGCAGAGGGAAUUCCCGGUGUAGCGGUGAAAUGCGUAGAUAUCGGGAAGAACACCAGUGGCGAAGGCGCUCUGCUGGGCCAUAACUGACGCUCAUGGACGAAAGCCAGGGGAGCGAAAGGGAUUAGAUACCCCUGUAGUC